GGAGUCUAGCAUGUACGCAAGUCAAUGGGAAUUAAUAAACCCAAAGGCAAAGUGAAAGCAAAAGAUUGUCUUGUAUAAUCUUAGGGACGAUGGGUAAACUUUUUUAAUUGUGAACCCCGCACUCCCGGGACGUCUCGUAAUCAUUGCGAUUUGAGGCGUACCUAGAGCGUACACGCUGGGACCCGAAAGAUGGUGAACUAUGCCUGGUUAGAACGAAGUCAGGGGAAACCCUGAUGGAGGUUCGUAGCGAUUCUGACGUGCAAAUCGAUCGUCGAAACUGGGUAUAGGGGCGAAAGACUAAUCGAACCAUCUAGUAGCUGGUUCCCUCCGAAGUUUCCCUCAGGAUAGCUGGCGUCCAAUACUGUUCGAGUCUCAUCCGGUAAAGCGAAUGAUUAGAGGCAUUGGGGUCGAAACGGCCUCAACCUAUUCUCAAACUUUAAAUGGGUGAGAUCUUCGGCCUGCUUAAUCGAGGUCGGAGAUCGGAUCAGGGUGCCAAGUGGGCCACUUUUGGUAAGCAGAACUGGCGCUGUGGGAUGAACCAAACGCAAUGUUAAAGCGCCUAAAUCGACGCUAAUGGGAUACCAUGAAAGGCGUUGGUAACUUAAGACAGCAGGACGGUGGCCAUGGAA
rnacentral:rRNA from 1 species